rnacentral:rRNA from 1 species
UACGAGGGGGGCAAGCGGUUGUUCGGAAUUAUUGGGCGUAAAGGGUGCGUAGGCGGUUUGGUAAGUCUGAUGUGAAAUCUAUGGGCUCAACUCAUAGUCUGCAUCGGAAACUGCCGGGCUUGAGUGUGGGAGAGGUGAGUGGAAUUCCGUGGUGUAGCGGUGAAAUGCGUAGAUAUCAGGAGGAACACCUGUGGCGAAAGCGGCUCACUGGACCAUAACUGACGCUGAUGCACGAAAAGCUAGGGGAGCAAACAGG